rnacentral:rRNA from 1 species
UACAUGGGGUGCAAACGUUGCUCGGAAUUAUUGGGCGUAAAGCGCGCGUAGGCGGUUACUUAAGUCGGAUGUGAAAGCCCUCGGCUUAACUGAGGAAGUGCACCCGAAACUGAGUAGCUAGAGUACGAAAGAGGGUCGCGGAAUUCCCGGUGUAGAGGUGAAAUUCGUAGAUAUCGGGAGGAACACCUAUUGCGAAGGCAGCUCGCUGGGACGUUACUGACGCUGAGACGCGAAAGCGUGGGGAGCAAACAGG